rnacentral:rRNA from 1 species
AACGAACGCUGGCGGCAGGCUUAACACAUGCAAGUCGAACGGACCUUCCGGGCUGAGUGGCAGUCGGGUGGGUAACACGUGGGAAUUUACCCUUCUCUACCGGAUCGCUCCGGGUAACUGGAAUUCAUACCGCAUACGUCCUGAGGGAGAAAGAUCUAUCGGGGCAGGAUGAGCGCGCGUUGGAUUAGCUAGUUGGUGGUGUAAAAGCCUACCAAGGCGACGAUCCAUAGCUGGUCGCAGAGGAUGAUCAGCCACGUUGGGACUAAGACACGGCCCAAUCUGCGACGGAAGGGAGCAGUAGAGAAUAUUGGGCAAGGGGCGCAGGCCUAGUCCAGCCGUGCGGCGUGAGUGAUGAAGGCCCUAGUGUUGUGAAGCUCUUUCAGUGGGGGCGAUAAUGACGGUACCCACAGAAGAAGCCCCGGCUAACUUCGUG